rnacentral:ncRNA from 3 species
UUUGACCUCGGAUCAGGUAGGGAUACCCG